rnacentral:sRNA from 1 species
AAAGACGAGCUGAAGAACA